rnacentral:lncRNA from 13 species
CUCUGCUGUCUAAACACUAUUGAUCCCUCCCUCUCGACGGCAGGCUACCCGCACCAGUGUAUAAAGGGACUGGAUGAAUUGAAAUUUCAUUUCCGACAACUUGUUCCUGUUAUUUCUACCUGUUUUUUGAGGGAGGGGAACAUGCGCUGGCGAGACGAUAGGUGGUUGGCAGAGGGAGGAGCAGUGGGGCGAGGCUCGCUAUGUCAUACCAGACCGCACCGUAAUGUACAACCAUAAACAGGCCAGCCACACACACAGGCCCCAGCCAGGAAUGAAUUCCUUGUUGAAUAAGUUCCCAGUGAUCAUUAUGGGCUAAUAGGGCCUGCCGUAGGCCAGCCUGCCCGGCUCUCUCUCAGGCCUCUCAGCAGCCAGCUGAAUGGAGAGUCACAGCUACAUCACAGAGCCAGCCAACACCCACAGAGAGAGCUGGACCUCAGCGCCAACAUCCAGACCUCUCAAUCAUAUGGAUCGUAUGGAGUUUUAUAGCCAAAUGAAGAGUCUUCUGCAGGACAGGAGUGCUGAGGUGCAGAGGCUCCAGAGGUCAUUGGCUGAGCUACAUGGACGAGAGAUGAGGUGGGAGAGAGAGACAUCCGCCCUGCAGGGCCAGCCGGGCCUUGCCAGAGAGGAGCUCCACAGCGCCAUCCUCAGGGUGAGCCCCGAACUGCAUCCUGCCCUUCCGCAGCGAUCCCCAUUGUGUUCCACUCAGACGAUUAGCACUGAGAUAUAGUGGUACAUAAAAGGGGAGGCCCUGUUUUAAUUAACAUAAAUAUUAGUAUAAUGACGUGAAGCCAUCCCACGUUCCAUUUCAGGCUCUUAGUGUUAAUACCUAUUUUAAUACAUUAUCAUUACCGCCAUCAUAAUUCUUAUUAUGGUAACUGUAAUUAUUCGAUUUAUGACAGAAUUAUUAUUUUGUUCCCUGCAGCCAUUUCCUCCCCGUAAAACCACAUUUUCCCUUGUGUAUGGCGCUCUCGGUCUCCCCCCUCAAAAAUAUUGAACGGGCACUGAUAAAGAUAAACACACAAACACCCCAGCCUGUUGGCUCCCGCCCCUGUAAAACACUCAAUCUGAAUUGCAUAUCCGCCUGGCGACCAGGCUUGUCAUAAGCCGUAUUAAGAAAAAUGGUCACACGGUUUGACAUAAAUUGGAAAAUAACAUUUGGAAAGCGGCCGCUGCUGUGGAAAUUAGAGAUAUUAAAAUUAUAAAUCAGUGUCUGGAUGUGCAAGGGGGUGUUGAGGAGAGGCUGAGUGUUCUCUUUCUCUCCCAUGUCCCUCUCUCUCUCUUGCCUCUCUUUCUCUCUCUCUCUCUCUCUCUCUCUCUCUCUCUCUCUCUGUGUCUGUCUGUGUUUCUCUCGCGUCUCAUUCUUUCUCUGGGGACAGCAGAGGGGGCCUGGUCCUACAGGGACAGAGGCCUGGAGAAAGUGCUCCUCUCUGGCUCAGCGACCCUCUCUCUGCUCCGUAGGGACAAACACUCCCUCUCAUUUGGCAGUGAAAGUAGAGGAUAUUGUCUGUGCUGGCGUAGUGUCCUGUCAGCUGAUUUAGCAGCUCUCACGCUCUAACCUGCUAAUGGAUCAUUUCAGAGGUGUGAUAUGCAUAAUGCAAAGAUAUCCGCUGACACCUUUAAAAACAGACACUUCCCUCUCCCAUGUGUGCCUCACCUCUGCCCUCCGGGUGUGUGCGUGUGUGUGUGGGCAUUUGUGUGUUUUGAGCAGAGGCAGGCACAGCAGCAGAAGGAAGAGCUGUUUGGUGAGCUGCAGAGGGAGGUGGACAGACUGAAGAAUGGGAGACAGGAGAUGCAAAAAAAGGUAAUUGAGUGCUUUGUCUAUUGACAGCAUCAGUAACACACCUCACACACACACACACACACACACACACACACACAGAGCUUACAAGAAAGGCAUUUCACUGUACUUGUGCAUGUGACAUUAAAACAUAAAUCUUGAAUAACACACACGCUGUCUAUAACAACCUUCCUUUGCUCAAUGAAGAACAGUAACCCCACUCAUAUAAACAUGUGUGUACCUUCAAGUACCUUCAACUGCUCAAUAAGUUGUGAUUCUUUAUACUGCCUGACUGGACUGCACAUCCCUUCCUUUCACUGAGCUCAAAGAGAGGCUCCACAAAAGACUGCAACUGCUGUGGGGCUAUGUGCCUUGACACUGCCGACCCUGAGCUAUUGAGGGAAAAAAAUAUGUCUGCUUUAAGAUGAGGCUCAACUGUGCUACCUUCAAGGCAUGGGUUAAAGCUCUUUUCAUUCCAAGUGCAGGGAGAAAACAUUACCUAUUUGUGUCCUUGGGGCAGGAAUGUUGCAUUCAGAUACAGGGUAUUUGUGUUGCGAGAGAAGAGGUCAAGAGUGAUGUCAUCCUCCUUGGAUCUGAAAGAAGAGAGGUCACCUCUAUAAGAGCAAUCCCACCCAGACUGGGUUCAUGUGCCAUUCUCUGCCCUCCGACUCUCAAGAUGUUCACACUCAGAUUGAACUAUCACUUAAGAAGUUUCUGAAGAUUUCAUUUCCAUCAGGCAAGUCUUUCCUUGCUCAAUAUCUGCUGUUUACCAUAAAGCGCUCUCUA